UGCUACAGUGGUGUAACUGCUUAUUUAGCUCAUAUUUGAUAGACUGUUCUAGACUAAGAAGGCAACUAUUGAUUGUUGUUUUUAUAAAAACUCGAAAUGUUAAGUGUGUUUUCUGAAUCAGAACAAAUAAACAACUUCAAGACAUCCGUAAUUAAGGUAUAAAAAGACAACAGCGACCUUAUGUUUUCAUCGACUACAAAAGACCUCCUUCUUAAAGGUUCCUCUUCCUGCAUCAAGGAGCUGAAAAACAUCCAACAUGAAGGCUACACUGCUCUGCGCUUUCUUUGCCGUCUUCCUGGCCACCUCGUGUGUCUUCGGAAAGCCCGUCAACAAUGUCAGAGGAUUGGGCGGCGGAAUGGGCGGUAAGGAAAUGAUGUACGAAUUUGAUGGCGAGAUGGGCGACGAUGGAAUGAUGUACGACUAUGAUGGCAUUUGGACCGCUGGACAAAUGGGAGACCGUAACGUAGGAAAGUGUAAGAAGUGGUGCUGGACAACGUGGCAAAGGUGGUGGCGGUUACAAAUUUGCUGCCAAAGAAUCUAGAUACUAGAUCAACAAAGCACAAGACAAACACCCCGGAUUACGGAUUGGACUGGCACUCGAUAUCAAUGUAUCAAUAUAUAUAAAAAUAUCAAUAUAUUAUGUGCAUUAAAAAGUAAAAAAAUAAAAAUAUAAAUGUAA